AAAGCGUGGGGAGCGAACAGGAUUAGAUACCCUGGUAGUCCACGCCGUAAACGAUGAGUGCUAAGUGUUAGGGGGUUUUCCGCCCCUUAGUGCUGCAGCUAACGCAUUAAGCACUCCGCCUGGGGAGUACGGUCGCAAGACUGAAACUCAAAGGAAUUGACGGGGGCCCGCACAAGCGGUGGAGCAUGUGGUUUAAUUCGAAGCAACGCGAAGAACCUUACCAGGUCUUGACAUUCCUCUGACAAUCCUAGAGAUAGGACGUCCCCUUCGGGGGCAGAGUGACAGGUGGUGCAUGGUUGUCGUCAGCUCGUGUCGUGAGAUGUUGGGUUAAGUCCCGCAACGAGCGCAACCCUUGAUCUUAGUUGCCAGCAUUCAGUUGGGCACUCUAAGGUGACUGCCGGUGACAAACCGGAGGAAGGUGGGGAUGACGUCAAAUCAUCAUGCCCCUUAUGACCUGGGCUACACACGUGCUACAAUGGACAGAACAAAGGGCAGCGAAACCGCGAGGUUAAGCCAAUCCCACAAAUCUGUUCUCAGUUCGGAUCGCAGUCUGCAACUCGACUGCGUGAAGCUGGAAU
rnacentral:rRNA from 1 species